rnacentral:rRNA from 1 species
GGGUUGUGAGGUUAAGCGACUAAGCGUACACGGUGGAUGCCCUGGCAGUCAGAGGCGAUGAAGGACGUGCUAAUCUGCGAUAAGCGUCGGUAAGGUGAUAUGAACCGUUAUAACCGGCGAUUUCCGAAUGGGGAAACCCAGUGUGAUUCGUCACACUAUCGUUAACUGAAUACAUAGGUUAACGAAGCGAACCGGGGGAACUGAAACAUCUAAGUACCCCGAGGAAAAGAAAUCAAC